rnacentral:rRNA from 1 species
UAUCAAUAAGCGGAGGAAAAGAAACUAACAAGGAUUCCCCUAGUAGCGGCGAGCGAAGCGGGAAGAGCUCAAAUUUAUAAUCUGGCACCUUCGGUGUCCGAGUUGUAAUCUCUAGAAAUGUUUUCCGCGUUGGACCGCACACAAGUCUGUUGGAAUACAGCGGCAUAGUGGUGAGACCCCCGUAUAUGGUGCGGACGCCCAGCGCUUUGUGAUACAUUUUCGAAGAGUCGAGUUGUUUGGGAAUGCAGCUCAAAUUGGGUGGUAAAUUCCAUCUAAAGCUAAAUAUUGGCGAGAGACCGAUAGCGAACAAGUACCGUGAGGGAAAGAUGAAAAGCACUUUGGAAAGAGAGUUAACAGUACGUGAAAUUGUUGGAAGGGAAACGCUUGAAGUCAGACUUGCUUGCCGAGCAAUCGGUUUGCAGGCCAGCAUCAGUUUUCCGGGAUGGAUAAUGGUAGAGAGAAGGUAGCAGUUUCGGCUGUGUUAUAGCUCUCUGCUGGAUACAUCUUGGGGGACUGAGGAACGCAGUGUGCCUUUUGGCGGGGGUUUCGACCUCUCACACUUAGGA